GUGCUCGGUUUGGUAGCAUAUAUACUAAAAUUGUAACGAUACAGAGAAGAUUAGCAUGGCCCCUGUGUAGGGAUGACACACAAAUUCGUGAAGUGUUCCAUAUUUAA